UUCUUGGGACCUAGAACGAGCAUCUCUGUUUUGUCAGAGUUUAAAAGUAUAACGUUUGCAGCCAUCCACUUCCUUAUGUCUGAAACACAGACUUCCAGCGAGGGCAAUUUUGGGGCUUCACCAUGUACAUCUCCUGUCAGUGUUAAAUCCCCCUGAGGCCCACUUUCAGUUCACACAGACACAAUGGAGUUAUAAGAACCCUCUAUUCUGUUGAAUAAAACAACCAUUUGAUGCAAUUACAGCAUUAUAACAUAAUUCUGCUCUCACAGCAGAGUACAGUAAAGCAGUGCAUAGUUCUGUAGAGUUCAGUAAAGCAGUGCAUAGUUCAGUAAAGCAGUGCAUAGUUCAGUAAAGCCGUGCAUAGUUCAGUAAAGCGGUGCAUAGUUCAGUAGAGCGGUGCAUAGUUCAGUAAAGCGGUGCAUAGUUCAGUAGAGCGGUGCAUAGUUCAGUAGAGCGGUGCAUAGUUCAGUAGAGCGGUGCAUAGUUCAGUAGAGCGGUGCAUAGUUCAGUAGAGCGGUGCAUAGUUCAGUAGAGCGGUGCAUAGUUCAGUAGAGCGGUGCAUAGUUCAGUAGAGCGGUGCAUAGUUCAGUAGAGCGGUGCAUAGUUCAGUAGAGCGGUGCAUAGUUCAGUAGAGCGGUGCAUAGUUCAGUAGAGCGGUGCAUAGUUCAGUAGAGCGGUGCAUAGUUCAGUAGAGUUCAGUAGAGCAGUGCAUAGUUCAGUAGAGCGGUGCAUAGUUCAGUAGAGCGGUGCAUAGUUCAGUAGAGCGGUGCAUAGUUCAGUAGAGCGGUGCAUAGUUCAGUAGAGCGGUGCAUAGUUCAGUAGAGCGGUGCAUAGUUCAGUAAAGCGGUGCAUAGUUCAGUAGAGCGGUGCAUAGUUCAGUAGAGCGGUGCAUAGUUCAGUAGAGCGGUGCAUAGUUCAGUAGAGCGGUGCAUAGUUCAGUAGAGCGGUGCAUAGUUCAGUAGAGCGGUGCAUAGUUCAGUAGAGCGGUGCAUAGUUCAGUAGAGCGGUGCAUAGUUCAGUAGAUCGGUGCAUAGUUCAGUAGAGCGGUGCAUAGUUCAGUAGAGCAGUGCAUAGUUCAGUAAAGCAGUGCAUAGUUCUGUAGAGUUCAGUAAAGCAGUGCAUAGUUCAGUAAAGCAGUGCAUAGUUCAGUAAAGCAGUGCAUAGUUCAGUAAAGCAGUGCAGUUCAGUACAGAUUUGGUCUUGUUAAGGGGAAGAGCUUCAUGUAACAUAAUAGUGUGUAGAGUAAUACCCAAAUAUGCAAAAGAGGAUAUUGCAUAUUUCUACCUUUUUUGUGUAGCAAUUUAGGAUGCAUCACCAUGAAGAAAAUGACCUUCAUUUCCAUAAUUAGGCAUUUCUGUAUAGUACAGAUCAGGGACCCAUGAUGUGAUUUUUGCACCGCAAUUACGUUACCGGGUGUAAAUCCACUUCACUUACCCAAAUACAUAUAUAUAUUUCAAACUCUGAUGUCAUAGCUGACACCCCAUUCUUUCUGCAGACUUCGUUGAAUCGUUGAGUUUUUGGAAAAUGUGGACACAAACUGAGGGAGAUUUUACUGUAAUUCUGUUACCAAACUUUGCAUCUGCACAGUUCUUCCAGUAAAUGUGUUUUUGGAAAAUGUUCUGUUUUAAAUUGUUAAAAGCAUCAUAAAGGUGUGUGGUUUGUUAAACUUGAAAUCAAUGGAUUUUGUUUGGCAUACAUUUUAAGUCUCGGUGCAAUUCUGUUAUCGUGGAAUUGCCCAUAGAACAUCGUAUAAUGUUCUCCUAUCCAAAACUGCAACUACAUUUACAUUACAUUUAAGUCAUUUAGCAGACGCUCUUAUCCAGAGCGACUUACAAACUAUCUCUGUGAUGUCUCUACUAUCAGCUGGCUAUCGUUGUCAUAGGGUACGCUUUUGUUUUUGGGGUUGAAAACACACACUGUACUAUGAUGGUGACCUGUAGGCUAGUUAAGUAGAGAGAGAGGGGCAGAGAGAAGGGAGAGGGAGAAAGCAGAGAGGGGAGAGCGCUAGAGAUUGACCCCCCUCUUUCUGCCUGAGAGAAAGAAAGCAAUAGGGGAUGGUGUGCCUUCUCCAACAGUCAUCUCGUAACCAAUAGCAGAUGCAGUCAAACCUCUGACCACACCAGGCCACACCCUCUCUGCUGUUGAAACAACAAGCUCUAUUUAACUGAUUAUCUAGUGUCCUUGUGCUGGCCUGACCUCAACUAACU